rnacentral:rRNA from 1 species
GACGAACGCUGGCGGCGUGCUUAACACAUGCAAGUCGAACGGAAAGGCCCUGCUUUUGUGGGGUGCUCGAGUGGCGAACGGGUGAGUAACACGUGAGUAACCUGCCCUUGACUUUGGGAUAACUUCAGGAAACUGGGGCUAAUACCGGCUAGGAGCGCCUGCUGCAUGGUGGGGGUUGGAAAGUUUCGGCGGGUGGGGAUGGACGCGCGGCUUAUUAGCUUGUUGGUGGGGUAGUGGCUUACCAAGGCUUUGGCGGGUAGCCGGCCUGAGAGGGUGACCGGCCACAGUGGGCUUGGGAUAGCGGCCAGACUGAAUCUGGGGGCAGCAGUGAAGGUUAGUGCAAGAUGGGCGGAGGCCUUAUGCAGCAACGCCGCGUGCGAGAUGACGGCCGUCGGGUUGUAACCCGUUUUCGCCUGUAACGAAGCGUGAGUGACGGUAAUGGGUAAAGAAGCAACGGCUAACUACGUG